CCUGCCCCUAGAGACAUUGCAGGCAUGACUGCUGUGUCAUAUGUGUGUCAAUAGGUGGCACAGAGGAGACAGGCUUUGUCUAUCCUCGGGGUUCUGACCUGUGAACAACUGAAUGUUUAGUCCCCUAAGACU